ensembl:snoRNA
CUGAUACAAUGAUGAUAACAUAGUUCAGCAGACAACACUGAUGAACAAUCAAGUCUUUCGCUCCUAUCUGAUGUAUCUG